UGAAGUUAAAGGCUGUGGNUCAACCAUAGUUCGCUUUGGAAACUGUCAAACUNGAGUGCAGAAGGGGAGAGUGGAAUUCCAUGUGUAGCGGUGAAAUGCGUAGAUAUAUGGAGGAACACCGGUGGCGAAAGCGGCUCUCUGGUCUGUAACUGACGCUGAGGCUCGAAAGCGUGGGGAGCGAACAGGAUUAGAUACCCUGGUAGUNCACGCCGUAAACGAUGAGUGCUAGGUGUUGGAUCCUUUCCGGGAUUCAGUGCCGCAGCUAACGCAUUAAGCACUCCGCCUGGGGAGUACGACCGCAAGGUUGAAACUCAAAGGAAUUGACGGGGGCCCGCACAGGCGGUGGAGCAUGUGGUUUAAUUCGAAGCAACGCGAAGAACCUUACCAGGUCUUGACAUCCCGAUGCUAUUUCUAGAGAUUGGAAGUUACUUCGGUACAUCGGUGACAGGUGGUGCAUGGUUGUCGUCAGCUCGUGUCGUGAGAUGUUGGGUUAAGUCCCGCAACGAGCGCAACCCCUAUUGUUAGUUGCCAUCAUUCAGUUGGGCACUCUAGCAAGACUGCCGGUAAUAAACCGGAGGAAGGUGGGGAUGACGUCAAAUCAUCAUGCCCCUUAUGACCUGGGCUACACACGUGCUACAAUGGUUGGUACAACGAGUUGCGAGUCGGUGACGGCGAGCUAAUCUCUUAAAGCCAAUCUCAGUUCGGAUUGUAGGCUGCAACUCGCCUACAUGAAGUCGGAAUCGCUAGUAAUCGCGGAUCAGCACGCCGCGGUGAAUACGUUCCCGGGCCUUGUACACACCGCCCGUCACACCACGAGAGUUUGUAACACCCGAAGUCGNU
rnacentral:rRNA from 1 species